rnacentral:lncRNA from 1 species
CCUGGUUCCUGCAUGGUUAAAAAAUGAACAAUACCUGGAACUAGACUGCAAUGCUAUUCAUAGGAUCUAUGCCAUGCGACUCUAUUAUAAAUGAAGCUUUGUUACUAUGAGAUCCUUCUGGUAUUUUCAGUCAUAAAUCCCACUGGAUAAGGUAAAAAAAAAAAAACAUAUCCACCUAUUCUGAAUAUUGCAUUUCCCAAAAUAAAUGUGAAAGAAAAC